AUCUUUUCUCGGCCUUUUGGCUAAGAUCAAGAGUAGUGUGUGUUUAUUAGCUUAAUAUCUGAUACGUAGGCUAAUGGCUCAUAUGAUAUUAAAUUUAUUUUUGAGGGAUCAAGCUUAAAUUCGAGCUUUAUUCGAGUUCCAAUUCGAGUUUGAGUCUCGAGCUUCAAUCGAGCUCUUAAAUUGUUUUUUGAGUUCGAGCU